rnacentral:rRNA from 1 species
UCCUACGGGGAGGCAGCAGUGGGGAAUAUUGGACAAUGGGGGAAACCCUGAUCCAGCCAUGCCGCGUGUGUGAAGAAGGCCUUCGGGUUGUAAAGCACUUUAAGCGGGGAGGAAGGGCUGAGGGUUAAUAACCUUCAGCAUUGACGUUACCCGCAGAAUAAGCACCGGCUAACUCUGUGCCAGCAGCCGCGGUAAUACAGAGGGUGCAAGCGUUAAUCGGAAUUACUGGGCGUAAAGCGCGCGUAGGUGGUUAUGUAAGUUGGAUGUGAAAGCCCCGGGCUUAACCUGGGAAUGGCAUUCAAAACUGCAGGGCUAGAGUACGGGAGAGGGGGGUAGAAUUCCAGGUGUAGCGGUGAAAUGCGUAGAGAUCUGGAGGAAUACCGAUGGCGAAGGCAGCCCCCUGGCCUGAUACUGACACUGAGGUGCGAAAGCAUGGGGAGCAAACAGGAUUAGAUACCCUGGUAGUCCAUGCCGUAAACGAUGUCGACUAGGUGUUGGGGAACUUGAUUCCUUAGUGCCGCAGCUAACGCAUAAGUCGACAAACCUGUGAAGCCUUAUUUA